rnacentral:rRNA from 1 species
CCUACGUGAGGCAGCAGUGAGGAAUAUUGGUCAAUGGGCGCGAGCCUGAACCGGCCAAGUAGCGUGAAGGAUGACUGCCCUACGGGUUGUAACCUUCUUUUUUAAAGGAAUAAAGUGAGGCACUUUUGCCUUUUUGUAGUUACUUUAUGAAUAAGGAUCGGCUAACUCCGUGCCAGCAGCCGCGGUAAUACGGAGGAUCCGAGCGUUAUCCGGAUUUAUGGGGUUUAAAGGGAGCGUAGAUGGGUUGUUAAGUCAGUUGUGAAAGUUUGCGGCUCAACCGUAAAAGUGCAAUUGAUACUGGCAGUCUUGAGUACAGUUGAGGUAGGCGGAAUUCGUGGUGUAGCGGUGAAAUGCUUAGAUAUCACGAAGAACUCCGAUUGCGAAGGCAGCUUACUAAACUGCCACUGACAUUGAUGCUCGAAAGUGUGGGUAUCAAACAGGAUUAGAUACCCUGGUAGUC